rfam:Triticum aestivum genome assembly, contig: Triticum_aestivum_CS42_TGACv1_scaffold_146017_2BS
CACAUACUCCCUUCGUCCGGAAAUACUUGUCGCAGAAAUGCAAAAAGAUGGAUGUAUUUAGAACUAAAAUACGUCUUGAUACAUCCAUUCCCCCGAGAAGUAUUUCCGGACGAAGGGAGUAUUUC